rnacentral:rRNA from 1 species
AAAAGGGGGGCAACUCCCUGAGUACAGCGGCGCACGGGUGAGUAACACGUGGGUAAUCUGCCCUGGAGUGGGGAAUAACACCGGGAAACCGGUGCUAAUACCGCAUACGAUCACAGAGUCUGCGGACAUUGUGAUGAAAGGAGCAAUUCGCUCUAGGAGGAGCCCGCGGCUGAUUAGCUAGUUGGUGAGGUAAUGGCUCACCAAGGCUACGAUCAGUAUCCGGUCUGAGAGGACGGUCGGACACACUGGAACUGAGACACGGUCCAGACUCCUACGGGAGGCAGCAGUGGGGAAUUUUUGGCAAUGGGGGCAACCCUGACCAAGCAACGCCGCGUGGGUGAUGAAGUCUCUUGGGACGUAAAACCCUUUCGACGGGGACGAAAGCCGCAAGGUUUGACGGUACCCGUAGAAGAAGCCCCGGCUAACUCCGUGCCAGUAGCCGCGGUAAUACGGGGGGGGCAAGCGUUGUUCGGAAUUACUGGGCGUAAAGGGCGCGUAGGCGGUUCGCUAAGUCGGAUGUGAAAACUCUGGGCUCAACCCAGAGCCUGCAUCCGAAACUGGCGGGCUAGAGUUCUGGAGGGGGUAGCGGAAUUCCUGGUGUAGCGGUGAAAUGCGUAGAUAUCAGGAGGAACACCGGUGGCGAAGGCGGCUACCUGGACAGAAACUGACGCUGAGGCGCGAAAGCUAGGGGAGCAAACAGGAUUAGAUACCCUGGUAGUCCUAGCCCUAAACGAUGGAUACUUGGUGUGACGGGGAUUGAAUCCCGUCGUGCCGAAGCUAACGCAUUAAGUAUCCCGCCUGGGGAGUACGGUCGCAAGGCUG